UCUCCGUAGGUGAACCUGCGGAGGGAUCAUUAAGAAUUGAACAGCAGUGUCUGGCACUGUUGCCCAUUCUAACCCUUUGUGAAUCGUACUCGUUGCUUCGGGGGCGACCCCGCCGUUUCGGCGGUGGCGCUCCCGGUGGCCAAUUAUUAAACUCUGCAUCUCUUGCGUCGGAGUCUUAAUAAUGAAUUUAAACAAAACUUUUAACAACGGAUCUCUUGGUUCUGGCAUCGAUGAAGAACGCAGC
rnacentral:misc_RNA from 1 species